rnacentral:ribozyme from 1 species
UGCCCAGCAACUCCUAUCCCUACCUCCACGCGGUACCGGCCGGAAACUAUGAGAAACCUUAGGGAAGAUCGGGUAACCAACCCCGGUGGGAACUUUGGUCAUAGGCUGACAGGGAAGG